AUUGAACGCUGGCGGCAUGCUUUACACAUGCAAGUCGGACGGCAGCACAGAGAAGCUUGCUUCUUGGGUGGCGAGUGGCGAACGGGUGAGUAACAUAUCGGAACGUACCGAGCAGUGGGGGAUAACUAAUCGAAAGAUCAGCUAAUACCGCAUAUCUUCUGAGGAAGAAAGCAGGGGACCAUUUGGCCUUGCGCUGUUUGAGCGGCCGAUAUCUGAUUAGCUAGUUGGUGGGGUAAAGGCCUACCAAGGCGACGAUCAGUAGCGGGUCUGAGAGGAUGAUCCGCCACACUGGGACUGAGACACGGCCCAGACUCCUACGGGAGGCAGCAGUGGGGAAUUUUGGACAAUGGGCGCAAGCCUGAUCCAGCCAUGCCGCGUGUCUGAAGAAGGCCUUCGGGUUGUAAAGGACUUUUGUCAGGGAAGAAAAGGGCGGGGUUAAUACCCCUGUCUGAUGACGGUACCUGAAGAAUAAGCACCGGCUAACUACGUG
rnacentral:rRNA from 1 species